CCUGCCAAAGGCAAAAGUGAUGACUAAACAAAGUUUCCAGCUUUCCAGGAAGAACAUCUGCUUAUUUCCCUUGUUUUCCUCCUGGCUUUCUUAAGGUAGGCUCCUCUAUGACUUAGGAAACACGAUUUCAAGGGUUCCCUGCCGUCAACUUGCCCUCCAGCCUAUGGGGGAAGGUGGUGGAAAAUAGUAGUCAAGGUAAGAAUGGGAAAGGAGGUGGGAAGGCCUGAAAUUUAGUUAGGAAAGUUAGAGACAGGGAGAAGGGGUGGAGCUCUAAAGAGUGGAUGGGCACUCGGGCAUAAAGACAGAAAGUUAUCACAAUCCCGGGAAUAAUUAUCGCGGCGGGAAGCGAGGUUGUUUGUGCGGGGGGUGGGAGAGUGUUAAUGAAUAGAGUAAAAGGCCCACGACGGAGCAGGACUGGAAUGUGUCACCAAAGUGGGUGCCUAGACCCUUGAUCCUGAGAGACUAGAGAGGUCCGGGUUGCUGCGGUCUGGAGAGCCUGAUGAGAGACCCCAACGGAAAGAAGUUGUUGCACGAGGAUGCAAGGGACGAUCCCCAGUAUCCAGACCUCGGGGAUACAGAGGAAGCGAGGAAGAUGCCAGAGCCAGGAACUUCGUAGGUGUCUGACACGUGAGUAGAUCCCAUCAGCUUACUUGGCUGAAACAAGCUUUCCAUGUGGUGGGAUACCAAGCUUGCUUGCUUCAGGAAGAAUACUGAUGAUGUGUAAGCGAAGUGUGGUGGGGAGACUGUGGAGCAGGCUUAGAUGGCAUUCAAAAGGGCUUGUCAGCAUCAGACACUACACCUCUACUGAGUCAAUCUUUUUGGAGAAUCUUGAUGACUCUUUUGCUCACUGUACCUGGCUGAAAAAGUGAAAUCUCCCUGACUUUUAAAGUUUGAAAAGUCCAGAGGGCGCCCAGUGUUCCAUAGCUUCCAGCAUAGGUGUUGUGGUCAGCCUAGCAUCAAUGUUUUGAAGACUAAGGAGUGACGUCUGCAGACCCCAGUCCAGCAGUAGCUGAGACUAGAACUCAUCUAGAAGCAAAGCCACCUUUGGAUAUAUAAACUUGGUGGGACCAAUCAAUGCUUUGUAGGAAUUGAGCUAGGUGCUUGAAGUGUAACAGGGGAAUGACAUGGACGUGUGCAGAAUGCCUUCCAUGGUGCCUCCUCACAUGGAGACUGGGUAGCCCGCUUCUGGUAGAGUCCAGAGCAGGUAGAAUGGAAGUACCUGGGACAAUCUAUGGAGUAUGAGUUGAUAUUAUGUAAAUGAUUCCAAUAUGCUAACUACAUGUUCAGGAAGAAGCAAAAGUGGGAACAUUUUAAAAAAGCUUCACUCUCUUUGGUUUUAUUCUGGGUGGAUUUCAUCGACUCCUUCACAUGCAGUGAUAGACAUUGUUAUAAAGUGGAGAAACCUUGGUGCCUUCUUCCCAUUGAGGCCUCAUAGCCCCAAGAAAUGAGCCUCAGCCUCUGCUUUGUUCCAGACGUUUUGGAAUCACUGAGACUGUGAGUUGUGAAAGAUCAGGAGACUAAGCACCUGGGACUCCCUGUGUCCAGGUUUUACAGUUAGUUUAGCAUUGAUGACCCUGCUGUUUCUCAGCUGUGACAAGGACUCAUCCGACAGAGACUGCAUUUGGAUGUGAGUUGGUGGGACCAAUGCUAAUUAAGCUAAACUGAACUUACUUCCACCUAGAUUUAAGAUGGUGUAGAGGAAGUUAUGCUCCCAAGGAUUAUGUGGAAAUGAUUGUUCUUAUUCCUUCAAAUAAAU